GUCUGAUAAUAUCAACAAGCUUGUUACAAGUUGUUAACAACUUGUAACAAGCUUGAUGGCAUUAUCAUACUUGCUACAAAGUUGUUUCAACAAGUCUGAGAUAGUCACGAUAUAGCAAGAAUGUUACAACGUUGACGAUACAACAACCUUGCUACAAGUCUGGUAAUAUCAACAAGCUUGUUACAAGCUGUGAACAAUUUGUAACAAGCUUGUUAGCAUUAUCAGAC